UCAUUAAAUGUUUAGCAGCCCUAUUAAA
rnacentral:sRNA from 1 species